rnacentral:rRNA from 1 species
ACGGGAGGCAGCAGUGGGGAAUUUUGGACAAUGGGCGCAAGCCUGAUCCAGCCAUGCCGCGUGCGGGAAGAAGGCCUUCGGGUUGUAAACCGCUUUUGUCAGGGAAGAAAAGGUUCUGGUUAAUACCUGGGACUCAUGACGGUACCUGAAGAAUAAGCACCGGCUAACUACGUGCCAGCAGCCGCGGUAAUACGUAGGGUGCAAGCGUUAAUCGGAAUUACUGGGCGUAAAGCGUGCGCAGGCGGUUAUGCAAGACAGAGGUGAAAUCCCCGGGCUCAACCUGGGAACUGCCUUUGUGACUGCAUGGCUAGAGUACGGUAGAGGGGGAUGGAAUUCCGCGUGUAGCAGUGAAAUGCGUAGAUAUGCGGAGGAACACCGAUGGCGAAGGCAAUCCCCUGGACCUGUACUGACGCUCAUGCACGAAAGCGUGGGGAGCAAACAGGAUUAGAUACCCUGGUAGUCCACGCCCUAAACGAUGUCAACUGGUUGUUGGGAGGGUUUCUUCUCAGUAACGUAGCUAACGCGUGAAGUUGACCGCCUGGGGA